rnacentral:rRNA from 1 species
GAAGGCCUGUGGGUUGUAAACCUCUUUUGUUAGGGAAGAUAAUGACGGUACCUAACGAAUAAGCAUCGGCUAACUCCGUGCCAGCAGCCGCGGUAAGACGGAGGAUGCAAGCGUUAUCCGGAAUUAUUGGGCGUAAAGCGUACGUAGGCUGCUAAUUAAGUCUGUUGUCAAAGCGCGAGGCUCAACCUUGUAAAGGCAAUGGAAACUGAAUAGCUAGAGAGAGAUAGGGGCAGGAGGAAUUCCAGGUGUAGCGGUGAAAUGCGUAGAUAUCUGGAAGAACACCAGUGGCGAAAGCGUCCUGCUGGAUCUCAACUGACGCUGAAGUACGAAAGCUAGGGGAGCGAAUGGGAUUAGAUACCCCUGUAGUCA